UUUAGCCAUAUGAGAAUCAGUCAAAAAGUUUUCUAACACGUUGAAACUAAACCAAGGAAAAAGGAAGCAUAAAAAUUGACAAGAGCAGAAUAACCUAACCUGAGCAUCAAGUAUACAGUCACGGCCGGAGAAAAGAUGAGGCAAAGCCUCCCUCUCAACAUCUUUAACAUUGGAUAUGUGAUGGAAGCAUUUGUUUCUAAGGGUAGAAACUAGGAUUCUCUUAGCAGAGUUUUAGGCCUCAUAGCUGUAAAUAAAUUAAGGUACGAGACUGUUUUGAACUGUGAAUUUGUUACUGAGAGGGGCUGCAUAGAAGUUUGAACAAUUGAGAAGAUGGCUGAAAGGAAAUUGAAUAUCAAUGCCCCUCUCAUGUCGGUGAGACGCACUGCUGCAACAUCAUCUUUGUAUGAAGCAAGGAAGAGGAUAUUAGAGAAACGUCACACCCUUCCACCAAACCUGUUGCUGUGCCUUUCAAUUGGGAGCAUAUCCCCGGAAGGUCUACUCUGGGGAGCAUGUAUGUGAAUAUUUUCAUCAACUCAUUCUUGUUCACAAUUGUCGAGCCAUGCAACGAGUAUAUUCAGAGCUGUGACAUUGUUGCAUUCAACAAAAUUUAAGUCAUCUUGCCAUUUUCAAGCGGCCGAUUAGUUUGUUUUUCGUUGAUACCCCUUCCCCCCUCACUUUUUCAUCUUUUAGUAUGUUUGAUCUAUUUCAGUGAUGGUUUUGUUACUAGAAUUGUUGGAAUUGAAAGAGAGAUAUAUAUUUAAGUAUCUGCUAUUUGGUGCAA